GUCCCUUCUCCCUAUCCCCCUAUCUCUGUCUUGCAAGGCUGCAACCCUAGACUGGUGGCAACGGCGGAAUAUGGACGGCGACGGUGCAAAUCUAGAUCCGGGUGGAGGUCCUGCUGCGGCUAGAGGUGUGGGCGUCGGUGCCCCGGCGGUGGAUGUGGCCGGCAGUGUGACCCUCGGCGUCAUGGCUGCUGUGGUCAGCGAUGGUGGUGCGGCUGGGGGCACGGGCCUCCGCGGUAUGGCUAUUGCAAUCGGGCUAGCGGCUUGACUGCUGCGGCCGGCGACACGAGCCCCAUCGGCCUGGCAGGUGCAUGCGGGGGCGCGCCUGCCAUCCGCCAUCUUGGUGCGGCCAGUGGUGGGCCUCCUGCCAGUCGAGUUGUUGCGUUCAUGGGGGCAUGCCUCUACGGCUCAACCUCAGGGACAACUAUUUGUCUGGGCCACGGUGCAACUGCAAGCUUAACCUUGGGCACGCCUACAGAGUCGGCCUCACAGGAGGCGCGGCAUGAAUGGCCAGAAGGCCUAGGAACAACAAGAUGCGGAUAGCUAUCUUUGCAACCUCGUUGCCGGAGAAUGAGCAUGUAGGUGUUGAUGAGGAGAUCAUGUACUUAGAGAUUGCACUUGUUCGUGUAGUUGUCUGCUAUGAUAAAGAGAAAGAGAAGGACAAUUCAUGUAAUGAUAUGGCCUCUAGAUCCCGGCCCUGUACACACAAUUCAUGCAUUUGGACCCUUAAACACUGUUUGGGUCUCAUUUUUGUUACACACAAUGUAUACACGUGACGUGCGAUGGCAUAUAGUAUUUACAUGGAUGAAGGGUCAACAAA